UACGUAGGGGGCAACCGUUGUCCGGAUUUAUUGGGCGUAAAGCGCGUGUAGGCGGCCAUACAGGUCCGUUGUGAAAACUCGAGGCUUAACCUCGAGACGUCGAUGGAAACCGUAUGGCUAGAGUCCGGAAGAGGAGAGUGGAAUUCCUGGUGUAGCGGUGAAAUGCGCAGAUAUCAGGAAGAACACCAGUGGCGAAGGCGGCUCACUGGCCCGUAACUGACGCUGAGGCACGAAAGCGUGGGGAGCAAACAGG
rnacentral:rRNA from 1 species